rnacentral:lncRNA from 1 species
GUGCGGCUACAAAAGAUCUUCGGAAGAUAUCCAUGAUCAUCAGUUCGCAUUGAAGAUUGAUUCACGUCAAAGUAUGUUCUUUAUUUAUUUUUUUCUAUUUGAUUUCUGUAUCUGAAUCUUAUCUCAUAUAUAAUGAUUCUAUUUAUGAUUUGAAGAUUUGAUCUUAUGCAUGCUUAGAUUAAAUUAGAUUUAAUCUAAAAAAUUUUAAAUUCUACUACAUACUUAUUUUAAAAAAUUAUGCAUGC